AAAAAGAUAAGCUAAAACUAAGCUAUUAGGUUCAUACCCUAAUUAUAGAUAAAAUCUUCUUUUUA
rnacentral:tRNA from 1 species